GGGGAAGUGGAGUGGGGGGUGGGGAGUGGUGGGUGGACGUUGAAGUAGGGAGGGAGCGGUGGAGAGAAAGAUGAGGCACCGGAGACCGGCGGAGUCACUCAGCUCUCCUCGCUCCAGAAGUGCGCCUUCUGCCAAUCCGAGGGCCGCAUGGGGGUGAUGGACGCAAGCGUGUGCCCAAUGAGGAGGAGAAGGUGCCGCUCCGAGCCACAGGGGAAGGAGUGGGCGGGCCAAGGUCCUCCCCUCCCUCCGGCACCCGGGUCCUCCCUCCCGCCCUGUUCAGCCUUAUUCCAUGAUGUCGGCCUGCCUCCUGAGUCCACCUAAGAAAAUGAACGAACUUGCGCACUUCCUAUAGUGCCCAGAUUGUGUAUGCAUUGCCCCUCAGUGUGUUGAAACCUCUUUGCGGUUUGGCAAUGCAAGGACGCCAGCAUCGUCAUCCCAGGACAUAAUGAUAUUCAGGAGGGGGGCCGUGUUCCCUUAGCCAGGUCACCCUGUGACGAUUGAAACACACUAAAUCCCUCCUGUGGGAAGAAUCAGCUCCAUUUCUAGUGUGGGCUAUGCUACUACAUUUAAGAAUGUGCUAAUGAUACUUUCAGAAAGCCUAUUUCAUAUUUCUCUUGCUGUGAGGUCAUUUUAUGACUCAGGUGAAUAUAACUGAUUGUGGUGUUAUCUUACAUACUAUGAAUGCCACUAAAAACAUAAGAUUUUGAGUCUAAACUACACUAGAGGAUCUUUCAGAGGAUCUCCAAAUAGCCAGGGUUAGCCUCCUGUGGCAGAAGUUGCUCCCUUGUCAGUUGUUAUUGGCAUGCCUCCAGUCCCCACCAUGUGUCAUCUUCUAAUUCUGUGCUCACCCUAUUCCAGUAUUUCUUAAAUGGUUGUCUUAGGCCCACCUAGAUUCCUGAGUUUGCUCUCAGACCUACUGAAUCAUCAUCUCUGUAAGCUGGUCAUGGGCUUCUGCAUUUUUAGCAAAUAUGCCCGUGACAUGAAUAAAUAUUAAAAAAUCAAA